GCCCAACAAAGAAGUUUUUGUAAAAGCUGGUUGGAACGGUUUGCAUGGUUGGAGUACAGUGUAACUAAGGCAACCUCUCCACAAACAACUCCAGGUUCCCUUUAACAGUCACCUGUCGAAAGCAAGAUGUGUUGCGGAGAGAGCUUUUGGCAUCCUUAAGGGGAGGUGAUCACCUGCUACAGAGUCCUGAGUCCU
rnacentral:lncRNA from 1 species